UUUGAGACGUUGGCUGCUUGGGAAGGUCUUGAAGGAGAAAAUUGUUGGUAGACAAUUUGUUGCAUGUUGAUGAAGGGAUUAGUAACUUUACCAUUGUAGUUUUAUAGUUAGAUAAUGUUACUGUGAAUAUAUGUCAAGCAAUAUGAAGAGCUAGUGUGAGGGGAGGUCAAAUACCAGAAAGCUCUUAGUGUUGGUUAUGAAGGAUAUGUGAUGUAGCAUAGGUUGAGAAAUUUAGACUCGGUGGAAAUUGAAGAAACCAGCAGAAGAAGCAGAAUACCUAAACAGUUAGAAACGAAGGAGAGAAGGGAAGAGAAGAGGAGAAGGGCGGUGGAGAAGGGAGAAAUGUCUGCAACACUCAAACUUCAUUUCAUUUCCAUCAAUUCUCUGCCCAUGCAACAGGCUGCAUACAUAUAUAUAAUAUACAAACAAAGAGACUGGGCCUGGGCUAGCCUAAAACAUUAUACAAGCCCAAAACAAAAUAAAAAGGCCUAGGCCAAUACAAAAACAUAAUAUAAGCCCAAAUAAAAAAACUAAACUAAAUAGUCCAAAGUGGAUGUCCUCAUCAACUCUCCCGGGAUGAGAGAAAACUCGACUCUGUUGAGAGAAUAACUCACAAAAGGUUGCAAUCAGUUGCCCAACCAUAAGCUGAGUGGUGGACAAACCUCUUCCGACGUCCAUAUACACGUGUGAUAGGUGGUUUGGGCAAUGGGAGAUCAUGCUGACUCCUAUAAAGCUCCAACAAGCCAAGAUCAAGCUGUUGGAGUGUCUCUCUAGAUAUCCAUGUACAAUCAGAGUCAGAUCGACCUACUCAACGAACAAGAAAGCGCUGAAUUUCUCCAUCAUUAGUCAACAUAAUCUAUUCAUCUGAAAUAGCAUUAAUCUUUUCUUUGGGUAUUGUUAUAGGGGGUGUUGAAGUAGGGGUAGCAACAGGUUCGGGUUGAGGGUCAACAAAUAGGGGUAGAAAAGGAUCAUCGGAGGCCUUAAAAUGGCCUUUAUAAGCAACUAAAUCCUCAACAUUGAAAGUAGAGUGGUAGCCAAAAUGUGAUGGAAAAUCAAUAACAUACGCAUUUGGACCAACACGCUUUAAAAUUUUAAAAAGACCAGCGCUACGAGCUUACAAUUUGGAAGCGGAUCCAAAUGGACGUCGUUUCGAUCUAAUUCGGAUCAUCACAUAAUCCCCAAUAUUAAAUUCAAGAUGUCGUUUAUGCAAAUCCGCUCGAAGUUUAUAUGAAGCAUUACUUGCCUCUAGUUGUUUAUUGACCUCAAUAUGCAAGUCAUGAAGAUGUUGUACAAAUGCCUCAGCUGACAAAGACACAUUAGCAUGUGGGGACAUAGGAAUAAGGUCUAAAGGCUUCCUAGGUUUAUAACCAUGAACAACUUCAAAAGGAUUCAUGUUUAAAGAUCGAUUCAUAGAACUGUUAUAUGCAAUUUGGGCUAUCGGGAGGAUUAAAUCCCAGUUCCUCAAGAUUUUCAUGAACUAGACAUCUUAAUAGGUUAUCAAGACUGCGAUUAACAACUUCAGUUUGACCAUCGGUCUGAGGAUGAUACGUAGUGGAAAAUUUCAACUUAGUGCCAACCAUGUGCCAUAAGGUUCUCCAGAAGUGGCUAGUGAACCGAACAUCCCUAUCCGACACACCACUUAGGAAGGCCAUACAAUUUAACAAUCUCAUUAAAGUACAACCUAGCAACCUUAGAGGCAUCUGAAUUCUUGCUGCAAGGGAUAAAGUGGGCCAUUUUCGAGAAACGAUCCACUAUAACAAAAAUAGAAUCAUGUUUCUUUGGAGUACAUGGGAGAUCUAGUACAAAAUCCAUACUGACAUCUUGCCAAAGCCAACUAGGGAUGGGAAGAGGUGUGUAAAGACCAGUGUUUUGUCUCUUUUGUUUGGCCAACUGACAGGUGUUACAAGCACUAACAAUCUAAGCUACAUUUGUCUUCAAACAAGGCCAAUAAAAUUGACGUUCAACCUCUUCGAUUGUCAUAUCACGUCCAAAAUGCCCAGCCAAGCCUUCCACGUGACUUUCCCAAACUAUAAAGUCUCGUACUGAAGUCCGAGGGUGCACAAUUUAUUGGACCUAAAAAGAUAACCAUCCUCUAGACGAAAAUCAUCAGUAGCAUCCAAUUGUCCACUUUGCAACGCAAGGAAAAUGUCCUUGAAUCGGGACAUGACUCAUAAUCUUCUUUGAAUCGUUCAAAACCUAUGACCUUGACACUCGUUGGUUAAGAGUGAAAUGCGGCGGCUUAAAGCAAACGACGCUUAAUUUUCACUACCCUUUUUAUGCUUCAAAACAAAAGAGUAGGCUUGCAAAUACUCGAUCCAAUGACCAUGUCUAGCAUUCAAUCUCUUUUGGGAAUUAAGGUAGUGAAGUGCUUCAUGGUCCGAAUAAAGAACAAAUUUCUGGGGCAACAAGUAAUGACGCCAAUAGCGUAAAGCUUGUACGACUGCAUACAACUCCUUGUCAUAAGUCGAGUACCGUCGUUUGACAUCAUUUAAUUUCUCACUAAAAUAAGCAAUUGGGUGGUGCUCUUGGCUCAAAACUCCACCUAUCCUUACCCCAGAGGCAUCACAUUCUACCUCAAAAACUUUGGAAAAAUCGGGAAAUCACAUGACUAGAGCUUCUGUCAUUCGCCUCUUAACCAACUUAAAUACUUUGGCCGCUUCGUGCGACGAAUAAAAUUUCCCUCUUUUCAUGCACUCCGUAAUAGGAGCCAUGAUUGUGCUAAACCCUUUAAUGAAACGACGAUAAAAGGUAGCUAAACCAUGAAAACUCCAAAUGUCAUGUAUAGUCUAGGACUCAGGCCAACUACCAAUGGCUUGAAUCUUUGUAGGGUCAGCAAAUACUCAUGUCACAGAGACAAUAAAACCUAGAAAUACAACUUUAUCUGUGAAGAAAGAACAUUUCUUCACAUUAGCAUACAGGCUUGUAGCGCGAAGGGUAGAACAAACCUACGUGAGAUGAUCUCUAUGUUGUUCCCUAGUUUUACUGUACACGAGAAUAUCAUCAAAGUAGACAACGAGGAAUUUAUCCAUGAAUGGUUGCAAAGCUUGUGUCAUUACUCUUAUAGAAGUACUCGGGGCAUUGGUUAGCCCAAAAGGCAUGACCAACUACUCAUAAAGACCAUCCUUUAUUUUAAAGGCAGUCUUCUAUUCGUCACCCGGGCGAAUCCUAAUUUGGUGGUACCCACUCUUUAAAUCAAUCUUAGAAAAUAUCAUGGCGCCGACCAUCAUGUCCAACAUAUCAUCAAGCCUAGGGAUUAGAAAACGGUACUUCAUUGUGAUUUUAUUGAUGGCACGACUAUCAACACACAUUCUCCAAGAACCAUCUUUCUUAAGAGUCAAAAGGGCGGGAACCGCACAAGGACUUAGACUCUCACGAAUAAAUCCUUUGUGAAGGAGCUCCUCUACUUGCAUCUGAAACUCAGGAUGCUCGGUAGGAUUCAUUCUAUAAUGAGGUAAAUUUGGAAGAGACGAUCCAGGAACAAGAUCUAUAGCAUGUUGAAUGUCCCGUAAAGGGGGCAAUAUAUCAGGGAGAUAUUCAGGAAAGACAUCUCGAAACUCUUGAAGAACUGAUUGGACCUCAUCAGGGGUUAAUAUUGGAGAUUUCGAUGAAACUUCCAUGACGACCACGGCAAACACAACAGAAUCCUCUUUGAGUGUACGCUCAAAUUUUGUAGGGCUAAUCAUAUGUAACCCUUUUCGCUCCACAAUUUUCUUGGUCUGUUGUGAAUCAACAGGUUUUGGCGAUAAAGGAUUAAGGUGAGUCUUCUUCCCAUUGAACACAAAGGAACAUGAAUUUGACCGACCAUGGAUAGUGACAUCUAAAUUGAACGACGACUAAGAAUGACGUGUCCAACGUCCAUGGGAAUGACGUCGCACCAUAUAUGAUCUUUGUAUUCAAGAAAUUGGAUAGGAACCAAACAACGCUCAUUUACGGCAAUAGAAGAAGUGUCAACCCAAGAGACGCUAUAAGGUUGAGGGUGUGGGACUGAUUGUAAUCGAAGACGGGACACCGUAGCCACAAAAAAUGCAUUAAUGCAGCUACCACUAUCCACAAUAAUUUUACAACCCUUGUUAUUGAUCUUGAUAUAACUAUGAAAAAUGGCGUCACGACACCAAUCAUCAGCAUCUUUAGGGUGAGUGAGGGUACAACGUACAACACUUAGCCGCAAGGUGUUGGGGACAGAGGUCACAGAAUAUAGAUCUAUAGGGAAGGUUCGGAUGCAACCUAACAAGGUAUCAUCAAUAUCAUCCAAAUCGUCAAACUCUUCAAACUUAGGUUCAUAGACUUGAUCUUCUAAUGACUCACCUUUUACAUCUUUUUGUUCCUCAAUGACUAAAGCUUGACUAGGACAUCUAGAUGCGAUAUGACCAAAGCCUUUACAAUUGAAGCACUGCAUGCGAGAAGAAGUUUUUGGAAUUUCGGGAGCUUUACCCUUAUUUUCCAACACAUGGAGAACAUUAGAUGGGGAAGGCCCUAGGAGGGACUUAAUAGGCGGAGGUGACACGGAUGAGACGGAAGGACGACUGUUAACACGCCUUCCAUAUGGAGUCUUAGUGACCAACUCAUAAUCUUGGACUAAAGGAUAAGCAUGAUCAAGGGUAGUGACACCUCGAAGUAUAAGUUCACGCCUAAGAUCAUCUUUUAGGCCCUAUCUAAACCUAUUCAAAGUCAUUGCCUCAUACUCAACGACAUGAUAUCGCAUUCUAAAUUCAUCAAAUUGAGUAACAUAGUCAGUCACUGGUCGAUUCCCCUGUGUAAGGGUAUUCCAUUGGUCCAACAAGUUGCCCCUGUAAGAUUGGGGCAAAUAUUUCUCUUGAAGGCGACGCUUCAUUUCCUCCCAACUUCCAACUAGAGGUGCACGACGCCUCUCAAUGAGAUCCUCAACACUCUCCCAGAAGAGUUGGGCGAUGUCAGUUAAUUUCAAACUGGCAAAUUGGACACGUCGAUCCUCUAAGACUCCAUACCAUGCCAAGAAACGAUCCAUGUCUCUAAUCCAUUGAGUAAAAACUCUAGGAUCUAAGCAGCCAUCAAAAGUAGGAGCGUCUAAUUUGAUGUUUCUAAAGUAACGCUCGUCAUGGCGUGGAGGAGAAUGAUUAUCGCGACGACCAUGACCUCAUUCUCACUCACGGCCUUGAUCUCCAUUCCUUUGAUCACGUCGAGGAUGUUGUCAACCACUUGGUCGACGAUAAUAGUGAACAUUAUGAGACGCUUCAGAGUUAUCAGCGUCAGUCGAAUGAGGGGUUUGUUCAAAAUUGUCCAACCUAGUAGCUAGGUCUCUACUCUAUUCACAAGUAGCAGCCAUCUCGGUUUGGACAGCCGCAAUUUGAGUCUGUAAAUGUUGCUGGCUAGUGACAAGUUGAGCUAAUUGUCUAGUAAGUGCAUCAAACUGUGAGGGGUCCAUGGUGAAUGUACUAGAACUAGGUGUGACUAGACGACCACCACGCAACUGCAUGCAAUGUAAUACCAGCUAUAUGACUUGCGAAUUGCGAUGGAGAGAUCAAUGAACAACAAGUGCAAGUAACGAAAAAUAGCAAUUUGAGCAUUUAAAUUAAAGGUUUGGGAUUAAGUAAGUCCAAAUAUGGCAAGCUAAUACUGCUAAUAUAUGUAAAAUAACAAAGCGAGGGUCAAAUUACCAGUCAAAAUUUAAUCAUGUAAAAUAAGCGGGAUAAAAGUGGGGUUUAACAAGGGUUCAAUCAUGUAAUUUUAGGCAAAGUAAUGUAAUAGCAGAACAGAAAAUUAAUUGAUGCGAUUUUAAAUUAAUAGUAAUAUAAACCAAAUAUAGAUAAAAAUAGUAACUUCCCUUUUUGUUCGUUGAAGUAAUUCGAUCGAUUAACAGGACAAGAAGAUGUACCUACAAAACAAUGUUAGAAAAUACAAUUUUUUUCGCUUUUCUUUUAUAUAUAUAUAAAUAAAAAUAAAAAAAAGGGAAAAAGUGUUGUUCUUUCUAUAGUUCUUGAAAGCCAAAAAAAUUAUUUUUUUUCUAAUUAGUUGUACAUGCUAAAAUAUGGAAAGAGACAAACUUCCUUAUCACCUCUUUUUUUUUUUUUUUUUUUUUUUUGUUUUUUAAACUUACAAAAUCAAACUAAAUUACAUAAAUACAACAGGGUAAUAACUAAGCCCAUUUCAAAAAAUUGGUCCCAAAUUAAAAUCAAAUUUGCACUCAAACAUAAGCCCAAGUGCAGAAUAGUAACUAAUAAAGCCAACCCGAUUGAAAAAUAUAUAUCCAAUUACACGGCAACUCUGGAUCGAUUGUUGGCGGUGCUGGACUCAACUGCGUAGCCGGGCUGUGGGAGUCUGCAUCUUGGGCGGUGGCCGACGAAGGAGAGAGUCAACUAUUUGGGUCAUCGGUUUACCAGCAGUCGACGACUUGGGAGGUGGAGAAGAUGUUGAAGUAGACGACUUGGGUUGAAAUUUAUGUGUUCAGAAGUCCGAAUUUGUAGGCUGUCAAGCUCGAACAGUUGAUGGUUCCCUUUUUUUUUUGGUUGCUUUGAUUUCGAGUGGGUUGGUUCAAUUUCUUGAAAAUGGAAGAUGGAUUAUUGGGGUUGAAUCUUUUGGGUGGUCACUGCGUGGUGGGUUUUAUGAAUUUUGCAGCAUACGUGUGCGGCUGGGUGGCAGAGACUGGAUUAUGGUUGACUGGGUAACUUGUAUGAGUUUGGGUAGGGGUUGUUUAUUGAUGUCGGGCUGUUGAAGUCGUGGGUAGCUCAGUGAUACAGUGUGCCCCUAACGAAGAAGGCAGAGUUGUUGACUGGGUUUUGUAGCAGCAGGGUUGGGAGUUGCUUUGGUAUAUAUAUAUAUGUAUGUAUAUAUAUAAUGGAUGAAGAUGCUGUAAGUUGCGGGGGCUGUGUUUAUAUGUGUGUAUGGUUACUGGGUUUUGUAGCAAGGGAUGAAGUUUGAAAAUGGUGAUGCUAGGUUAUGCAGGUUAUGGGAUGCAGAAAAACGACCGACUCUAGGUUGGGCUCUGAUACCAAGUUGAUGUAACAUAGGUUGAGAAAUUUAGACUGUGGAAAUUGAAGAAGCAGAAUACAGCAGAAGAAGCAGAAUACAUAAACAGUUAGAAACGAAGGAGAGAAGGGAAGAGAAGAGGAGAAGGGCGGUGGAAAAGGGUGAAAUGCUUGCAACACUCAAACUUCAUUUCAUUUCCAUCAAUUCUCUGCUCAUGCAACAGGCUGCAUACAUAUAUAUAAUAGACAAACAAAGAAACUGGGCUUGGGCCAGCCCAAAACAUUAUACAAGCCCAAAACAAAAUAAAAAGGCCUGGGCUAAUACAAAAACAUAAUAUAAGCCCAAAUAAAAAACUUAACUAUAUAGUCCAAAGUGGAUGUCCUCAUCAAUAUGAGGAUGAGAGGAAAAUUUAAAGAUCAUAGAACCUAUUUUAGAUUGCUGAUUUAUGUACUCUCCUUCACCUCCUAACUUCCAAAAAGAUGAAUGGAAAUCCCAGAAAUUUGGAGAGAAAAAUCUCAAAUGAGAGGAGUUGGAUUGUCGAAAUCCGGGCUAAGUUGACUCUCCUAUAGAAAUUUUUGGUUUUUAUGAAAAUAUACCUUUAAAACAGGAGCUAUUCAUGUGAGCUAGUUAUAUUUUAGGAAGGAGUGUUCGUGACCCUGGUUCUAGUGAGAACUGGACUGAAUCAAGCAUUAGAGGCUAUUCAUCACAUGGAACUUUUGACGAAAUUGAACCGAAUUGGUAGAUUUGAAUUUUACUAGUACCUACUAGUACUAGUUAUGACGUAGGAAUCUCGUAAACAAAUAUUUGAAAUAAGAAAUUUAUUAAAAUUAAGAAGAAUUUGAGAGAGAGAGGAGAAGUUGGAGAGAGUAGUAGUUUGUACUCAAUAAACUAAGUGUUCUUAAGACAAAGAGUUAACCUUCUAUAAAGGCGUUUAAAUAAUCCUAAGGUACAUAGGAUAUUAAUCAAAAAUCUAAUUUAAAUAGGAAACUAAGAAAAUAAUCCUAAUGGAACACAAAUAGAAUUAUAGAAAUUCAAAUUAAUUUAAUUAUUAUUAUUAUUUUUUUUGCCUCGAAUAUAUCUUGUUUUACAUCAUUUCUCCUCGACCAAAAAGAAUUUGACCCAAGCCAAUUACAGUCUACUUAAGCAUCCAGUUGCUUGGUGUCAGUUCUAGAAACUCGUCUUCAUUAAUAUAAGUAGCAUUGCUAAGCGGAAGACCUUUUCAAGGCACUAGAAACCCGCGAAAGUCUUCUUUUGAAGCAAUAACUUGAUCUACGGGACCUUGUCAAUGAAUCUUAAGGGGGAAAUGUGGAAGCGGAGCUUAAUGGGAUGGGCAAGGAGCUUGACCUUAACGAUCUCAAUUUCACCAUCGGUCUGGGGAUGGAAAGCGGAAGUCCCAAACAAAUUGAUGUAGGAAGCUAUCAAUUUAUGAAAAUUGAAAAGAAUCUAAGAGGGACAAAAUAAAUUAGAGAGCAACAAUUUGUAUUCAAUAAUCAAAGUAUGUUUAAAAACAAAGGGUUAACCUUCUUUUUAUAAGCGUUUAACAACCGUAAGCAAUGUAGGAAAAUAAUUAAAAAAUGUAAUCUAAAUAGGAAACUAACUAAGAAAAUAAUCCUAAUCUAAGACAAACUAAAAUUUAAAGAAAUAUUAAUUAAUUUAAUUCCAUUUUUGCUUUGAAUACACUUUUAGUAUUGCAUCAGGUUCGUUCCAGUUAUUUUUAUGUUUUAGAAAAAACCUGCAAGUUUACACCGUUCUAUGAAUUUUCAUGUUUCACUUUCAUGCUUUUUGUUUUAGGUGGCAAAUGUGUUGGUAAAUUUUAAUACAUAUGAAUUCAUGUAACUUCGUGUAAGUUAACUUAAAGGUUGAUUAAUUGAGAUAUUAUAAAUAAGGUAUAUGGAACCAUAUUAAAUUUUGAUUCUUUAAGUGAAACCGAGAACCAGUUGCAAACUAUUUGGUUACCAGUUCUAAGACCCAAAACCAGUUAAAUUUUAAUUGGAACUGCACCGAAUCUAGUGAGCCAGUCUGAUUCAGAAAUACUUUCCCUUAUUAAGAUAAGUAUGUAGUUGGUAAUUUGUUUUCGACUCUCAUUGUUUUUCAUAGUAUGUAUAGGUUGCAAUUAUUAAAGGUCCUGGAAUGGGUUGUUAUCAUCGAGAAUACUUGAAUGCCACCUUCUCAUGGUUUUGUGGAAUAAUAAAUUGCCUCUCUCUUUAAUCUUCACUUAAUACCUCACUGGAACUUGAAUUACUUUUCUCUUUCUAUUAUAUUGAGUUGCAUUUUACACAAUGUCAGAGGACAAUCAACUCUCUGCCUAAGCACUUUGUGCCCCGUAUUUGUCUGAGAACAGAUCUUGUCGUCACCCUGAUGUAAUGAAAUUUGAUCCGAUUGCUGUCUUUAACAUUGUUAACGAGAAGAUUAGCAUUUGUAUUUUAC
rnacentral:lncRNA from 1 species